rnacentral:rRNA from 1 species
AUUGAACGCUGGCGGAAUGCUUUACACAUGCAAGUCGAACGGCAGCACGGGGCAACCUGGUGGCGAGUGGCGAACGGGUGAGUAAUACAUCGGAACGUGCCCAAUCGUGGGGGAUAACGUAGCGAAAGUUACGCUAAUACCGCAUACGAUCUACGGAUGAAAGCGGGGGAUCGCAAGACCUCGCGCGAAUGGAGCGGCCGAUGUCAGAUUAGGUAGUUGGUGGGGUAAAGGCUCACCAAGCCAACGAUCUGUAGCUGGUCUGAGAGGACGACCAGCCACACUGGGACUGAGACACGGCCCAGACUCCUACGGGAGGCAGCAGUGGGGAAUUUUGGACAAUGGGCGCAAGCCUGAUCCAACCAUUCCGCGUGCAGGAUGAAGGCCUUCGGGUUGUAAACUGCUUUUGUACGGAACGAAACGGUUCUCUCUAAUACAGGGGGCUAAUGACGGUACCGUAAGAAUAAGCACCGGUUAACUACGUGCCAGCCGCCGCAGUAACAC